rnacentral:lncRNA from 1 species
UUGCAGAUAGGUUUCUAAUACAGUCUUAAAGAAUUUGAAAGAAUACUUACCGGAAUGUUCAUAACCAGCAUCUGUGGAUCAUACAUAAAAAAUUAAUAAUAUAAUAAUAGGCCAUACAACUAGAAACACCGGCUCUUAGAAAAAAAAAACACAGGAAAAAAAUGGGACACCUAACCUUUUGGAAAAAGCAAUUAAUAUCUGCCUGUAGAGAAUCAAUACUAUGAAAAGUUGAGAAUGAUACUUCAGACCCACUGGAAGAAACAUUCAAGAAAUUAACGUCUAGACGAUUUUAAAAUCAACUUAAAUGGCUUCUGGAUGAUAUGCAUGCCUGAAUGUUGCACCAGAUUUGGAGCUUAGGGGCAGUUUUGCUAUCCGUUUUGAGCGAUCCUUUUGUUUAAGAUCUAUACUGUAGUGAAAGAUUUCAGUAUCACAAGCACCUGUAGAAUACAAAUAACACUAAAAAAAUAAGCUCAGUUAACAAAGAAGUCUCACAAUCCUUUUAAAACACAUUAUUAUAUCUUGAAAACACAAAACCGUAACAAAAUGGAACAAUCGAUAAGCUGUGAACUAUACAAUGCACUAGUUAAUAUUUUUGAAGUGGCCUAGUAUUAAUCUAGUACUGUAAACCUCACAGCAAGGUAACGUUGUCAAAACCUGUUCUACUGAAAUUUAAUUAAUCAAGGUUAACACAGGUAAAAUCAUAAGAGCAGUCUAGUUAUAUUGAAGAUUAGGUAAUGAUUCAACAGAUAUAAAAUUUCAUAAACAAAUGAAAAUACUGAUUUUGUUCAUUAUUAAGUUUUAUAAAGCUUCUUCUAGCAAUAGAGUUUCUUAUCAUGAUACUAGACAGGCUUCUAUAUCUAUAUUAUUUUAGAACACAUGUAGGUGAAUAGUGUAUCAAAACUAAUAAAUUGAUUGUGAUGUAUAUCAAGGCAUCCCAUGCUAAUAAUAUGGUGUGUAUACAGAAAAUAAAUGCUUCAGUUCCCCAAUUAGAAAAAAAAAAAAAAAAAAAAAAAAAAACAUUACAUAUUUACAUGUAAUGAUGCAAGAAGCCACUUUGAUUACAUAUAUACAGAUCAUAUGUUGAGAUUAAAUGACAACUAAGCCUAACAAGAACCGGGAAAGUGCAAGUUUUGUAACAUCAAGUUUGUAAGUGAACAAUACUUACUGGUUGUUGCAAUUGAUAUAACUCCAUCUGCAUAGCAUACCAAAGCUGCUCAUUAGUUGGUUAAUUUAAUAACACUGUGUGGUUUCUCGAGUUUCAAGUUAGAAUUUCAAAAAUUAAAAAAAAUGAAAAAAAUGAUCUGAAAGAAUACUUAACCACUUACUUCUGCACUCCGUUAGUGUUUUAAAACAAAUGACAGGGUAAUGAGUAAUGUGUAGUACGAUUAACACCAAAGGGCGUGAUAAGUUCGACUGUGGACACAUGGCAUAGUAGAAUCAUGCCUAGAUAGAUUACUUAGCUACAAACUUUGGUGCAUCCUGAUUGCUUAUUAGGGAUGAGAUCGGUACGGUACCGGUACCGGUAUCGGUACCGGUAUUUCGGUACUUUACCAUAUUGGUACCGCUUUGGUGUCAUCCAUUGUUUUACCUAAAUAAAUUUCAUGUGCAACACAUCCAUCCAUUAUUAAUUGAACUAGAGUAAUAUAUAUAGGAAUGUAAACAAAUGGUAAACACAUUAAGUAGUCAAAAAAAUCAAAAGGUAAACAUCCAUGGGUUCGACUUUUAACAUCCAAAUUCCAACAUGUCUAAAAAAUCAUCAUAAUUGAUUAAAAAUAACCAAACAAAAGAAAUUUGAUAUUGGUUUUUGUAAAACAAUGUUCUAGAAAAUAUAACUUCAUAGUGGGAUCUAAGAUAAUAGCAAAAUACAUAAGGUCAUUAUUAAAUUCGGUAUUAAUACCGGUAUUUACCGAAAAAUACCGGUACCGAUACCGUUUUUUGCCGAUACCGAAUUUCAAAAAAUCUAUUACCGAUACCAGUACCGUUUAUGAUCGGUACGGUACGGCAUCGGUACGGUACCGGUAUUUCGGUAAAAAAUCUCAUCCCUAUUGCUUAUCGAAGCAAAGCUUCAGGAUGUGUCCAAACAAGCAA